UAAAAGACUGCACAGAUUUCCUGAGAAUGCUGAACAAUGUGGUUCAAGCUCUGUCAUGAAUGUAGUCUUCACCACCACCACCAAGACCAGCUGGCAGACCGAAGUAGUUUCCCAUGUGCUCAUGAAAGAAUGGGGUAGGUUUUUCUAAAUCUGGUCUGUAUUAUGUAGUUUAAACAAAUUGAUUUUAAUAUUUUUUAUCUUGCAAUUAAGUCUUCAAUGCCGUUUGUUCUGAAAUGCUCCUUUGCAAACACCUUGUAAAGUGAAUAUAAAGGAAUUAUUUAAUUAUUUCAAUUAGGAAUUCCAUUUGUGGACAGCAGAGGUCUCA
rnacentral:lncRNA from 1 species